AUCUCUUGGCUCUCCUAUCGAUGAAGAACGCAGCGAAAUGCGAUAAGUAAUGUGAAUUGCAGAAUUCAGUGAAUCAUCGAAUCUUUGAACGCACCUUGCGCCCUUUGGUAUUCCGAAGGGCAUGCCUGUUUGAGUGUCAUUAAAUUAUCAACCUUGCUCGCUUUUACCGGCUUGAGUUAGGCUGGGAUGUGAGGGUCUUUGCUGGCUUCCUUCAGUGGAUGGUCUGCUCCCUUUAAAUGCAUUAGUGGGAUCUCUUGUGGACCGUCACUUGGUGUGAUAAUUAUCUAUGCCAUCUUGACUUUGAAGCAAACUAAUGGGAACCUGCUCAUAACCGUCCUUUCAGGACAACUCUUGACAUUUUGACCUCAAAUCAGGUAGGACUACCCGCUGAACUUAAGCAUAUCAAUAAGCGGAGGAAAAGAAACUAACAAGGAUUCCCCUAGUAACUGCGAGUGAAGCGGGAAAAGCUCAAAUUUAAAAUCUGGCGGUCCCUGUGGCCGUCCGAGUUGUAAUUUAGAGAAGUGUUAUCCGUGCUGGACCGUGUACAAGUCUCCUGGAAUGGAGCGUCAUAGAGGGUGAGAAUCCCGUCUUUGACACGGACUGCCAGUGCAUUGUGAUGCGCUCUCAAAGAGUCGAGUUGUUUGGGAAUGCAGCUCAAAAUGGGUGGUAAAUUCCAUCUAAAGCUAAAUAUUGAGGAGAGACCGAUAGCGGACAAGUACCGUGAGGGAAAGAUGAAAAGAACUUUGGAAAGAGAGUUAAACAGUACGUGAAAUUGCUGAAAGGGAAACGCUUGAAGUCAGUCGCGCUGUUCAGGACUCAGCCUUGCUUUGCUUGGUGUACUUCCUGUUCGGUGGGUCAGCAUCAAUUUUGGUCGGUGGAUAAAGGCUUAGAGAAUGUGGCAUCUUCGGGUGUGUUAUAGCUCUGGGUCGCAUGCAUCGGUUGGGAUUGAGGAACUCAGCACGCCGCAAGGCCGGGGACUUGUCCCACGUACGUGCUUAGGAUGCUGGCAUAAUGGCUUUAAUCGACC
rnacentral:rRNA from 1 species